rnacentral:misc_RNA from 1 species
AACGCACAUUGCGCCCGCCAGUAUUCUGGCGGGCAUGCCUGUCCGAGCGUCAUUUCAACCCCUCAAGCCCUGCUUGGUGUUGGGGACCGACCGCCCCCGGGCGCCGUCGGCCCUGAAAUGAAGUGGCGGUCCCGCCGUGGAACCUCUGCGUAGUAGCAACACCUCGCACUGGAGAGCGGCGGCGGCCACGCCCAACCCCCCAAAUCUUUCAAGGUUGACCUCGGAUCAGGUAGGAAUACCCGCUGAACUUAA